UACGAAGGGGGCUAGCGUUGCUCGGAAUGACUGGGCGUAAAGGGCGCGUAGGCGGAUGGCACAGUCAGAUGUGAAAUUCCCGGGCUUAACCUGGGGCUGCAUUUGAUACGUGUUGUCUAGAGUGAGGAAGAGGGUUGUGGAAUUCCCAGUGUAGAGGUGAAAUUCGUAGAUAUUGGGAAGAACACCGGUGGCGAAGGCGGCAACCUGGUCCUUGACUGACGCUGAGGCGCGAAAGCGUGGGGAGCAACCAGG
rnacentral:rRNA from 1 species